UACAGAGGUCUCAAGCGUUGUUCGGAUUCAUUGGGCGUAAAGGGUGCGUAGGUGGCGCCAUAAGUCAGGUGUGAAAUCCCGGGGCUCAACCCCGGAACUGCCCUUGAAACUGGAGAGCUAGAAUCUUGGAGAGGCGAGUGGAAUUCCGAGUGUAGAGGUGAAAAUUCGUAGAUAUUCGGGAAGAACACCAGUGGCGAAGGCGGCUCACUGGACUGGUAUUGACGCUGAGGUGCGAAAAGCGUGGGGAGCAAACAGG
rnacentral:rRNA from 1 species